rnacentral:lncRNA from 1 species
CUAGCCCUGCCAAGGAAGGGCCUCAAAAACCUGAUUAAACUCAGAAUGCUGGCUCCAUGGAUAUCUUUAGUAAAAGGCAAAAGAUGUAUUUGAUCUGAAGAGAAACCACCAUAGGCCAUCUCCAUUCCACACCAGAGCAACUCAACUGCUCUUAUCCUCAUUUAGGUGCCCCCGCCACAAAGACUCUCUCUGGUAGGCACCUGUUACCUAUUGGCCUGGAAUGUUCUUCCAGUAGCACCUCUAUUUGGGGAGGGCAGCUGUCCACCCCGCAUACCAGAGGUCGGGGUGUGGAUGGAGCGUUGCGGAACUAAUCAAGGGCAGGUCCAAGGGUAAGGCUAGAGAAUUCCCGGCUCUCCAUCCUCCCAGCUGCAGAGGCAGUCCCACCUCCAAGGGGCCGAGAGGAUGCCCGGAACGGGACCCGGCCGAGGACUCAUUUAGAGGGGGGAUGCUCUUUAGCAACCAGUGCCUAACUCACAGCCCGGUGCUCAGCUGGCUCAGACGGUGCCCUACAAAGGAAUCUUCUCCACUCCUGCCCUCCCCCCAGGUGUGGCCCCCGGCUCCAGAUCCUUUCCCCACCAAGAAUGCCAGAAGCUUCAGCAAGCAAGGCCUUGGUCCCAAAUGCUCGGGAGGUCCCUGCAGCCACCAGACGCUCUUUCCCACCUACAGACACCCACGACUGAAGGUCCCCUAAGAGCGGCAGCCACAUCCAGGACGUCUGAAGCGGGGGUGGGGGUGGGGGGAUCUGGGACAAUCCUGCUCCGCCCUCCGACAGCUCCACGCACCAAAUCUAGGGGUCAACUCGACGGGACCCUGACGUCUUCCAGAAAUACACGUCUUCACUUCCCAGCAUGGCUGUGGUUGGGAAGGUGCAUGGGGGUGUGUGGUGUCUGUCCUGGGGAUGACACAAGUGGGGGGAGCUGGCCGCUCAAGCUCUGCAGGAGAGUGGGAGAGAAGGCAGUGACAGAGAGCGCCCGACUGGGGCGGGGGGCGAUCUCUUCCUACUUGAUAGGACUGUAGCAAAAUGGUAUUUCUGGAAUCUUCCCUACACACGUGCCUUUUUCUCUUCCCUGGAGUCCCAGCCACUGGCUGAGAGGCACGGGGUGGGCAGAUGGGAGAAGCCAGGGCAGAGCAGGCAAAGCCAGGAGGCUCGGCCCAUGACGGUCCAGGCGCCUCCAGGAGGAAGCUGAGCCCGUGGAGACCCAGGGGAUGGGGCAACACGGAACACGCAGAUGCUCCCUACUCCACGAGGAGCGGGGCGAAAUGCCCUCCACGUCCUCUCCGGCUCCAGCUCUGGAGUGUAGGGCCACGUCUGCUGUGUGUUCCUGUGUGUGUGUCGACACACACCUACUUAUACUCACAGCCUCACCACACAAAGUAACAAGCCUAAAGUGAUGCUGGGGAGGGUGGGGGCCUCUGUGCAGAUUUGAGAAUCGGAGCACUUGAAAUCCCAGCUCGACAGCUGUGUGACCUCGUGCAAGUGACUUAACCUCUCUGACCUCCAACCCUUACCUGCUGAUGGAGCUCAAACAGUGUUCACCUCUUUGAGGCAGCAGCGGGGCCCAAGCCCUCUCCACUCCAAGACUCUACUUAACACAGACCUACGGAACUAGGUUUAUCAGGUGGGAUGCAUUUUAAGUGCUUAUAUUUUAAGAAAAUUUGAUCCUUAAUAACAGAACCCGAGCUCACAGGAACGUCACUUUUCUGGUUUUGAUAGCCUGCAAUGGUUACCGGAGGUGUCAUUAGGGGAACCAAGGUGAAAGGUACACAGCAAUUUUCUGUACCAUUUUCACAGCUUCCUCUGAGUCAAACUCUUUCAAAACAACAAGUUGUUUUAAAAAUUAACAAACCCUCAGGUAUUACUACAUCUGUAACCUUAUGUGAAAGUGAGGUCAAAAAUCUCCAGUUGAUGUGUUAUGUCACGGCAAUACCCGGAAAAUUUACCCCGAUCCUCCCUAGCUUGUUUUUCUACACAAAGCCUUUGUCCCUAAGAGGAUCAAAUGAGGUAACAGGCACUCCGCUCUUAGCACAGCACCAGGCUCAGAGCCUCAAUGUUCAUUUUUAAUAGUUAUUAUUAUUCCUCAAAAUGGCCACAGAGGAGAUCAGAAUUCCAGUUGAAGGAUGGACAGAUCACAACACAGCCAAGGUGAAUAACGCUAUAGAUGUAAGCUUAGCGACAUCACCAAGGGUUCAUAAAAAUAGUAAGCGAAAAAAAGCAGCUUAUAAAUCACUACGAAGAGUUCCGCCCCACUCUCUGGAAAGACAGUGUGGCGAGGAGCUAAACGCACGGGCUAUGGACACAGAUCGCCUGGGUUCCAGCCUCAGCUUGGCUCCGCAUGUCUAUGCUCUCAAGCAAGGUCUUUACCAGCCGGGGCCUCAGCUUUCUCAUCUGUAUGAAAGGUUGAAUAAUAAAACCCAUCACUGGAUUUUGAGUGAUUACCUGAGUGCAUACAUGUAAAAUGCUGGCAAAGAGUAACACCCAAAUGUGAGCCACCACUGAUUAGACUGUAUUUCACAUUCAUUUAUACUCAUUAAGAAAGAGUCUGAGAGUUCCUGCUGUGGCGCAGCAGAAAUGAAUCCAACUAGGAACCAUGAGGUUGUGGGUUCAAUCCCCGGCCUCGCUCAGUGGGUUAAGGAUCUGGCAUUGCUGUGAGCUGUGGUGUAGGUCACAGAUGUGGCUUGGAUUCUGCGGGGCUGUGGCCGGCAGCUGUAGCUAUGAUUCGACGCCUGGUCCAGGAACCCCCAUGUGCCUCAAGUACGGCCCUAAAAAAAGAAAAAAGACAAAAAAAAGCAGUCUGGAAGAAGAUAUAAACACCCAAAAACAGCAGCAGCUAUCAUCCUGAAUGACAGAGUUCGUUUUUUGAAGUAAUAGGACCUUGCUGUUUAUUUUUUAUAUAGGACUGAAUGACAGGACUGCAAAUGACUCUGAUCUUCUUUUUGCUGAACUCUCAUUUUCCCCCAAUUACCAUGGGUUAAACACAAACCUCAAGUUCUUAUGAUAAAAAAUACUUGAAAAAAAAACCUUCAAAUACAUAUUGUUCCCGUAUAACACAUGGGAGCAAACAGGGAGAAAGAGUCUGUCACAAAAACGUCAAACAGUAAAUCCUACCCUCAUCUAAGGGAAGUUGCAGUUGGGUUAGUGUCUCCAAGUAGCUAGUUGGGCGCUCCCCGAGCCUGUGGCUCUCAAAAUUGCUGCAGGUCAAAAGCAUCAUGGAGACCUUUUUCUGUUUUUGCCAUUUCUAGGGCCGCUCCCGUAGCAUAUGGAGGUUCCCAGGCUAGGAGUCGAACUGGAGCUGUAGCCACCAGCCUACGCCGGAGCUACAGCAACACAGGAUCCGAGCGGCGUCUGCGACCUACACCACAGCUCACGGCAAUGCCGGAUCCCUCACCCACUGAGCAAGGCUGGGGAUCGAACUCGCAACCUCAUGAUUCCUAGUCAGAUUUGUCAACUACUGCGCCACGAUGGGAACUCCAUGGAGACCAUUUUUAACCACACCCGUAACCUCCCAUCCAAAUUACCUCGCACACACCCAUGUACCCGUUACCAAAGAGAAGAGAGUAUCGGUGCAGUUUGUGGAAAGCACCUUGGCAAAAGCGGCGACCAGAAGCGCAAAGAAGAUCAUUUGGAGGUUCCCCAGACUACCGCUGCAUUGCAGGUCCCCCCCACCAACCUCAGCAUCGACCAGUGCUCACCUGCCUGCCCACUCUGCCGCCACCUCCUUCCCUGGCACCGGCCCUAGGGGCCCUUAUGUGAAAGGACCACACUAAGCCAAGCCAGCAUCCAGAGGCGGCCGGGCAUCCUGCCCCACUUCCCCAACAGCAGGCAGGGGGGGCAGUCUCACUGCCCUGGACCCAGGGGCUCCUGCCUCCCUCCACGGGCAGGGCCCCAGGCGAGCCGCUGCUGGAGAGCUGCCCCUGGUCCACUCGGCGUCAUUACAUGAAAAUAAAACCUCAGCCUGUUCUGGGCUUGCCCAGCCCAUUACGGGGAGGAAGUUAUAAAAGCUGCCAAACAUGGGUUACCUCAAGGGUGCUCCUCCUCAAACACGCCGGAGAGGCGCUGCCUUUCCCCUUCUCCCCGCCUUCCACCUUUUGGGUAAAGGCUUUCUUCUGUGUCCUGUGUAUUGACACCCCGGGCUCUUGGCUGUUCCAGCUGCACAAGCGCCACGCUCCUCCUGCCUUGCAAACAGCCCCCGUUCCGACCCACCGCCCGGAACGCCUCCUUCCAGACCGCACAGCCCACUGGCUUCUCAAAGUCUGGCUCGGAAACCAAAUAAAAAGCUUUUCCUUUACACUCCCGUUUAUGUGCAGCAGCUCCGAAGCUUUAUUCUCACGCCUUACACUGCUGCCACCUGCAUAAAUUCGCUCUAAGUGCCACUUCUCCAUUUGUGGAUUAUGAAGGGCUGAGGGACAGCCCCACGGGAUGCCAUAGGCCGGCAGGGAAGCCAAGUGGCCCUGUCGGGACCCAGAAGGGCAAGCAACCCCGAGACCCUGGGCCGGGCACACACCAGCCCUGGGAAGGGCAGAAACCACAGCUUCUUCCAGCUCUGCCAUCAAAGCACCGCCCCACCCCCCCAUGGUCCUGCCUUCCAACCUCAGCUCAGCAGGCUCCUAGGUGUGUAUCCUUGAGAUUUGGGGAAGCCUCGGAGGCUAUUUCCUUAUCUAGAGAAUGGGGACAACACCCAGGGGUGGGGCUCCUGUGAUGAGAGAACGGGAUGAUGAAAUGCUUGAUAUUCUUACCAUGGUGUCUGGGGUGUGAGAGCCCCACUGCCCCCAGACACAGCGCCCAUCAGCCGUCAAAUUCACCUGUACGUCUAUGACGCACGGACUGCAUGCCAGGUGCCGGGGAGGAGCCAAAUCGACAGGGUCCCUGAGCUCAAGGGCUCCUGGGGCGGGGGGUUCCUAGCUCCGUGGGUGACCACUACAAUGGCUGUGCACACACCCAGCACAGAUGGGGGAAGGACACCUAAACCUGCUGGAAGAUCUGCCAAUAAUGCCUAUUUAUAACAUCUGGUAGCUUCCACUUUGGCCUCAUUUCCCAUCCGCCCCUCCCCCAACACCUGCAGGCCUUCCCACCCAACUGGGUCCAGCCCCACCUCGAGACCUCUGCCUGGAACACACGCCCCUAACAUUUUCUUCCUUGUCCCCCCUCACUAGACUAGGGGCUUUGCUCAUCUGUCACCUUCCUGGUCACCCCAAAAGACCUCUGUCCCCUUAGGCUGCUUUAUUGUUCUGCACGCCCCAACAGUUCAUUCAAAUUGAUUUGCUUAUGUGGUUACUGGAUCCAUCUUCCCCACUAGAAUGUGACCUUCGUAAAGGUUGAGGACUCUGUUUUGUUCAUCACUGUGACCUCUGACCCCCAAACCCUGCCCGAAUCAACCAAUGAAUGAGGCGCAGUUAGAAGCCGGGGACUCCCCGCGUGGGAGCGACGAGGCUCCGAGUGUUAUGGGUGUCAGCAUUUCAACCUCACAUCCUGCGGGCCACUCCGGAUGGACCAUCACCAGGAAGAGGGGGACUGGACCACUCUGGAGCUGCUGUUCCCAGCCUGGGUCCCGCAUCAUCCUCCCGAGCUUCAGUGGCUGCAUUUCCAAUAAACGGCUCCCAGGGACACACCCCAAGACAAUCAAGUGAAGCCCAAUAUCUCCCCCAUGUCUGGGAGGCUGGCCCCCCACGUCUACGCUCCUAAGGAUCCCAACCUGCUCAGCAAGCCCUCCAUAACCCCGGCAGCCAGUGUUUGUUGGAUGCUCACAGACAGGCAGUCUCUCGUGCCCUAUUUUAGGGGGAGAACCAGGAGUUCCCACUGUGGUGCAGCAGAAGUGACUAAGAACCAUGCAGUGGCGGGUUGGUCCCCUGGCCUCCAUCAGUGGGUUAAGGAUCCAGCGUGGCUGCAGCUGUGGCGGAGGCCAACAGCUGUAGCUCCAAUUCAACCCCUAGCUUGGGAACCUCCAUGUGCCAUGGGUAUAGCCCUAAAAAAAAAAAAAA